GCCCCUAUCUUUUCCUACGGGGCGCAGCAGUGAGGAAUAUUGGUCAAUGGGAGAGAUCCUGACCCAGCCAAGCCGCGUGAGGGAAGACGGCCCUAUGGGUUGUAAACCUCUUUUGUCGGAGAACAAAACCCGGGACGUGUCCCGGACUGCGUGUAUCCGAAGAAAAAGCAUCGGCUAACUCCGUGCCAGCAGCCGCGGUAAUACGGAGGAUGCGAGCGUUAUCCGGAUUUAUUGGGUUUAAAGGGUGCGUAGGCGGUCCGUUAAGUCAGCG
rnacentral:rRNA from 1 species